AUAAACAUUGUAUCUAAAAAUGCUUUUUCUGGAUAAAAAUUUCUACUUUUAAUUAGACCUUUAUGACUAGUUCAAAGAACCUUGAAUCUAAAACUUACCUCACCAAAAUCAUAAACUACAAAGAGGAACAACUGCAGUACUUUGCCUACAUCUUGGAGAAUUGUCUGUUUAUGUUGUGGCACCACCUGAAGUAUUAUCUUAUUCACUGCGUUCCUGUCAAUCAGCAGAAAUCCGUACCAGAGUCAGACUCAGACAUUCACAACUCAGGAGGCUUCAAGAUUUUACUGGGAUUUCUCAUUCAUCAUUUUGAGAAUCUGAUGCAGACUCUUUUCCAGACAUUGACAAACAACUUAUGAUGGGGGUGACCAGUGAAGAUGACGCUGAAACAGACAGCAAACUCAGCUAUACAUGACUCACACCUCCAAAAGGAAUACUGUAAGUCCAAGACCCACUACAGCUUUGUGGAGGCCCUCAUAAGGAGAGUAAGAAGACUAUUGAGGCUCAGCACGGGGAGCAAAAACAGGCACAGGUGGCUCGCUGUAUUGAAAUGAUUGCUGUCUAUAAAAUUUGAUAUGACUUUUUAAUGCUAAAUUCUACUGACUAUAAUUAUGGAUUUAUUGAGCAGAUAUUGCAUGGAACUUGACCUUUUAAUAUCUGUUGAAAUUAUUUUUGUCCAUGAAAUUCAAGAUGUAUGUGAAUUAAAAAUAAAAUGAAAACAUCUACAAUGA